GACGAACGCUGGCGGCGUGCUUAACACAUGCAAGUCGAACGGAAAGGCCCUGCUUUUGUGGGGUGCUCGAGUGGCGAACGGGUGAGUAACACGUGAGUAACCUGCCCUUGACUUUGGGAUAACUUCAGGAAACUGGGGCUAAUACCGGAUAGGAGCUCCUGCUGCAUGGUGGGGGUUGGAAAGUUUCGGCGGUUGGGUAUGGACUCGCGGCUUAUCAGCUUGUUGGUGGGGUAGUGGCGUACCAAGGCUUUGACGGGUAGCCGGCCUGAGAGGUUGACCGGCCACAUUGGGACUGGGAUACGGCCCGAACUCCUACGGGAGUCAGCAGUGGGGAAUAUUGCACAAGGGGCGGAAGCCUGAUGCAGCAACGCCGCGUGCGAGAUGACGGCCUUCGGGUUGUAAGCCGCUUUCGCCUGUGACGAAGCGUGAGUGACGGUAAUGGGUAAGGAAGCACCGGCUAGCUACGUG
rnacentral:rRNA from 1 species